rnacentral:rRNA from 1 species
UGGGGAAUUUUGGACAAUGGGCGAAAGCCUGAUCCAGCAAUGCCGCGUGUGUGAAGAAGGCCUUCGGGUUGUAAAGCACUUUUGUCCGGAAAGAAAUGGCUCUGGUUAAUACCUGGGGUCGAUGACGGUACCGGAAGAAUAAGGACCGGCUAACUACGUGCCAGCAGCCGCGGUAAUACGUAGGGUCCAAGCGUUAAUCGGAAUUACUGGGCGUAAAGCGUGCGCAGGCGGUUGUGCAAGACCGAUGUGAAAUCCCCGAGCUUAACUUGGGAAUUGCAUUGGUGACUGCACGGCUCGAGUGUGUCAGAGGUGGGUAGAAUUCCCCGUGUAGCAGUGAAAUGCGUAGAGAUGUGGAGGGAUACCGCUGGCGAAUGCGACCCCCUGGGAUAACACUGACGCUCAUGCACGAAAGCGUGUGGAGCAAACAGG